rnacentral:tRNA from 1 species
GCGCUCAUAGCUCAGCCGGAUAGAGUGUUUGGCUACGAACCAAAAGGUCGGGGGUUCGAAUCCCUCUGGGCGUACCA